UACGAAGGGGGCUAGCGUUGCUCGGAAUCACUGGGCGUAAAGCGCACGUAGGCGGAUUGUUAAGUCAGGGGUGAAAUCCUGGAGCUCAACUCCAGAACUGCCUUUGAUACUGGCGAUCUUGAGUUCGGGAGAGGUGAGUGGAACUGCGAGUGUAGAGGUGAAAUUCGUAGAUAUUCGCAAGAACACCAGUGGCGAAGGCGGCUCACUGGCCCGAUACUGACGCUGAGGUGCGAAAGCGUGGGGAGCAAACAGG
rnacentral:rRNA from 1 species